UGGGGAAUUUUGGACAAUGGGCGAAAGCCUGAUCCAGCAAUGCCGCGUGUGUGAAGAAGGCCUUCGGGUUGUAAAGCACUUUUGUCCGGAAAGAAAUCCUUGGCUCUAAUACAGUCGGGGGAUGACGGUACCGGAAGAAUAAGCACCGGCUAACUACGUGCCAGCAGCCGCGGUAAUACGUAGGGUGCAAGCGUUAAUCGGAAUUACUGGGCGUAAAGCGUGCGCAGGCGGUUUGCUAAGACCGAUGUGAAAUCCCCGGGCUCAACCUGGGAACUGCAUUGGUGACUGGCAGGCUAGAGUAUGGCAGAGGGGGGUAGAAUUCCACGUGUAGCAGUGAAAUGCGUAGAGAUGUGGAGGAAUACCGAUGGCGAAGGCAGCCCCCUGGGCCAAUACUGACGCUCAUGCACGAAAGCGUGGGGGAGCAAACAGGAUUAGAUACCCCUGGUAGUCCACGCCCUAAACGAUGUCAACUAGUUGUUGGGGAUUCAUUUCCUUAGUAACGUAGCUAACGCGUGAAGUUGACCGCCUGGGGAGUACGGUCGCAAGAUUAAAACUCAAAUGAAUUGACGGGGUCAUAGCUGUUU
rnacentral:rRNA from 1 species